rnacentral:rRNA from 1 species
AUUGAACGCUGGCGGCGUGCUUAACACAUGCAAGUCGAACGAGAACGGAUUAUAGCUUGCUAUAAUUGUCAGCUAAGUGGCGCACGGGUGAGUAAUGUAUAGAUAACCUGCCCUCUAGAAAGGAAUAACAGAUGGAAACGUCUGCUAAUGCCCUCUAUGCCUUUAAUACAUAAGUAUGCAAGGGAAACGCUUUAGUGCUAGAGGAUGGGUCUGUAUGGUAUCAGUUUGUUGGUGAGGUAAUGGCUCACCAAGACUAUGACGCCUAACUGGUUUGAGAGGAUGAUCAGUCUCACGGAAACUGAGACACGGUCCAGACUCCUACGGGAGGCAGCAGUGGGGAAUAUUGCACAAUGGACGAAAGUCUGAUGCAGCAACGCCGCGUGGAGGAUGACACAUUUCGGUGCGUAAACUCCUUUUAUAUAGGAAGAUAAUGACGGUACUAUAUGAAUAAGCACCGGCUAACUCCGUGCCAGCAGCCGCCGUAACAC